CUGCGAGUCCCGCCCGCGGCCGGGGAGGCCCCGAGCCCGGAGGACGGCUGCGCGGAGCCGGGCUUCUGCCGCCGGCCGUGUGGUCGCGCUUCCCCCGGGAAGGGUCCCGCCGUGCGCACCUGUCGGGAGCCGCGCGCUCGUCCUUCAGCCGUGCCGCCCUUGUCGGCCCUCGGCGCGGUCCCGCCCUGGCUCCCAGACCUCAGGAGGAGAUCCGGGUGCCUCCUGCCUUCGGUUAUUUUCCCGGACUCGCGUGUCCUGACUGCUCACACCGGUCCCCCGUCUGCCCUCCGGAGCGCCCGACCGCCCAGCUGGAGAGGCGACUUGGCCCGAGUCGGAAGGUCCUGAGUCGGAUCUCCGAUUUACAGGGAGCCGGAGGAGAGCUUUAGAGGGCCUGAUCACCGACUUGCAACUGAUGAGAAACAGCCCAUGGCCGGAAUUGCCAGCCCUGCCAGCAACGACUUGUGGUAUUCCUGGUUCUCAAGGACCGCUCCCCGUGGGCUCUGUGAUGACACGUCGCUUAGGAAGAGCUGAACAAACUGUCCAGACCUCCCAGGACAAGUCUAAGUCGCCCGUUGUCGGAAAAGAACCUUGGGAAAGUGUGUUAGUCCGGGUCUUCAGAGAAGCAGAUGCUAAGACAUGAUUAAACGUGCAAAGAUUUUUAUCAGGGCAAAUACCUGAGGGAGAGAAAACAGAGAAGCAGCCAAGUUAGCCUGGGAGAGCAUCGUACCGUCCCAGGCUGCCCUGCCGUUCCAGGAGGAACCAGCAAGGCCACCGGGCUGUUCUGGAGCCAAAGUCAACCGUCAGAGGUGUCCCCAUGGUCUCUGAGUCAUCAGUGGGAGCACGCCCUGGAGGUAUGACCUCCGCACUCCUCAGCAAGGGCGUCUGGGGCCCUUGGUCACCAUGCUCCCUGCAGUCCGAGGUCUCUGAGCCCUGUUCUGGUGGCCACCACAGAAAGAUAAACAUAGCUUAACAUAGAUAAACAUAGGUUAAACACAGGUUAACAUAGGUUAACAUAGAGAAACUAGGUUAACAGGCACUGUGUUUCAAGGAAGAGCUUAUUGUGUUGGCGUACCAUCUUUGGGUUCAUCAGAACCACAAUGAGCAUUUCCGGAGGGCUCUGGCUAGGCGCUCGAUGUGCGUUCCCUCAUGUAACCCUCUCACCAGCUCUGUGGGCAAGUUGUACUUUUCUUCCCAUCUGAUGGGGAGACCGAGGCUUAGAGAAGGUAAGUAGCUUGCUCAAGGUCACGUGAGGAAGGGGCUCACGAGGUUUUCAGAUCUCUGCAUGUUGCUGUCCCUCUUCUGAAACGGCUUGGGAUCUGUUUUGUAAGCCUGAGUUCUGACUGCACCUCAGCUGACCUAUUUACCCUAUCCGUUUGGUUUGUUUCGUACGGUCCCCUGGCCUUUUGACCUACUUCCAAUCAGUUUUGAAAUCCAGGGAAGUGUCAGCAGUCCGACGUGGCCCCACAUCAGGUCACUUGCGCUCUGGAGACCAGCAGUGUGAAAGGUGAGCUGAGGUUCAUGUUCAGUGAGCGUAUGUAAGUACAUUCCACUCCGUGUAUUUAAUGAACUAAGGUGACUGCCUAGGCUCUGUUGUUUUAAAUAUUUAGUAAGAUGACUGAGAGCCCAGAUUUAUUAUACUGCUGAAUGCCCUUAGAAUCUGGAGACGGCACGGCUGACCGAAUUGCCAUCUCUGUAAUUGGCUGUGACUGUGACCAUUCACGUGUUACCUGACUAUAUUUGGCUUAUCUUGAAGCAAGUGAGUGUUUCUGGCACUUUCAGGUCCUGUCAUAUUUGAUUUGCGCAUUAAUACAGUAGUUUGGCUCAUUAGGUGUGGUCCAGUGGGAGUUCCCAAAAAGCCAGAAAUAUUUAACAACCUGUCUUUCCCCGUCCAUCACAUCACUGAUGGUCUUAAUAUGCCUGGUGUGGAGUAUGUUGAGACUGGAGAAUCACUUAGUGCCUCAAUGUCGACUGCUGCAAAAUCAGGCUGAAGCUCUCUGUCCUAUUCACUCCACAAGACGGCUAAGCUCAAAGGAGGGUUGCCUGGAGAGAUACUAGGAUAUGUUAUAAGUGCUCUUAAGAUGUAAACUUUGGGUUUGGGAUUAUGUUUUGAAAUAUUAGUCAAUAUUUUAAUGUUCUCCCUUGAGGAGCCGGUCUAGCACUUGGGCUUAGAAUGUCUGAGGAAAGACAGGAGCCUUCCUGGUUUGGGACUGUGGGCCUAGGUUAACAUUUGGGAGAUGUAUGAAAAGUAAGGGCCAAGGGGCUGAGGAGACGGGGGCAGGAGUGAGAAGAUGACAUAACAGGUGUGGGGGGAAUAACGAUGUCACUGGCCUUGCAGCGAGGAGCCUGGAGCCUGCUUUUCCGGGGAGGCAGCAGAAACCCCAGGUAGCCCGAGUCUGUGAAAGCAGCCCAAGGUUGCUCUGCUUCCUUGGAAGAUCCGGGGAGGUGGUGGGACCGCGCAAGGAGGAAGUGGCUGCUUGGAGACUCCAGCAGUCAGCGCUUAGACUUGUUCACAAAGACUCCUCACCCCCAAGGAGCCAUUGGCUGAAGACUGGGUGUGAAGCUGACUCAGAGAAUCCCCAAGGGGAGAGAUGUCAAGGCCUGAGGCUUCCAUCCCCCACCCCUUCCAUGGUGGCUUGGUCUCCAAAUGAAUGGACCGAUUGACUGAGAUCACAUUUUCCCCCUUCUGGAGGAACGAGGGCUCAAAUUAGAAAUUAAGCUGAUACAUGAAAAAUAAAGCUGCAUUUUUUG
rnacentral:lncRNA from 1 species